CACAGGGCGAGCUCUGGUGGGGCCCGGGCACAGGAGCUUCUGUCCCCGUGGAGUUGGGGGGCGCCACCCUCCCAGCAUGCGGAUGUGUCCACCAGCCCAGAAGCUCUCUGGAUCCUGUAGUUCAGGGAUUUUUACGGAGGCUUCAUUACUUACGCGUGAUGGAUUAUUAGCUCAAUCUCCAGCCCCUCUCCCUUUCCUGGAGGGUGGGGGUGGAGCCAAAAGCUCCAGGCUCCUCGUCGAAUCUGGGUCUUUCUGGUGCUCAGCCCCCAACCCCACCCAGGAGCCACUGAGAGUCACCUCAUUAAACCAAAGACAAGGGAUUAGGAGCUUUGUGUCAGGAACCCGGAAAGAGACCAAAUAGAAGUGAAUGUUUCUUAUUAUGUCACACAGCCACACCACGAGGUUGGUGCAGGAGCCCUUGAAGGAAGCCCUUGGAGGAUCUGAGACCAAGAGGGCCUGAUCAGAUCGGAGUUUUGGAAAUGUAACCUGGCAGCCUAGGGGAGGACUGGACAGAGUGGGGAGGACAGAGGGGAACUGAUUCACCAGAGGGAGGGCGUGAACACCAAAAACCACCCAGAAGACAGCUCAGUGGACCCUAGCAGUGGAUUCUACAUGUCUGCAGAAAAUGAGCAGAAAACAAGCCAGAGUUACAGCUAUCUGCAGAGAGACUACAUCCAGGAGGUCUGAAGACUGAAACUGACACCAUGAAUCACAGUGGAAUUCUCCAAAUGGAAUGCAGCCACACCUCAGCUUCUGUGCUGCGUGCUGCCACUGAGGACAUUCGAUACCAUUGAAGCCGUCAGAUAGAGGCCGUAUUUCAAAAGGUCUACGGUGGCUCCGUUUCUUCUCUGAGACUUCAAAAGUCCUUCAAGAGUGAGUUCCCGUCUCAUUCUAUGUCCAGGAUGAAGACGGAUGGCCUCUUGGCACCCAUCUCUUUGGCAUGAACGAUGUGGGGAAACGUGAAUGGAAAUGGGGAACUGUUGCUGGCACCCAGAAGUCAUCCGGUCCGGAUGAAGCCAAGUCACAAGGAAGUGCCUCCAAUUAUUCUUCAUAAAUUCCUCUGAGGUUUCACUUCUUGUCCACACAAGACUUUAAUAAAAUGUGGCAUCUAACUGAAUAAAGACUAUCCUUUCGGG
rnacentral:lncRNA from 1 species